GACGGGAGCUUGCUCCCUUAUGGUCAGCGGCGGACGGGUGAGUAACACGUGGGUAACCUGCCUGUAAGACUGGGAUAACUCCGGGAAACCGGGGCUAAUACCGGAUGCUUGAUUGAACCGCAUGGUUCAAUCAUAAAAGGUGGCUUUUAGCUACCACUUACAGAUGGACCCGCGGCGCAUUAGCUAGUUGGUGAGGUAACGGCUCACCAAGGCGACGAUGCGUAGCCGACCUGAGAGGGUGAUCGGCCACACUGGGACUGAGACACGGCCCAGACUCCUACGGGAGGCAGCAGUAGGGAAUCUUCCGCAAUGGACGAAAGUCUGACGGAGCAACGCCGCGUGAGUGAUGAAGGUUUUCGGAUCGUAAAACUCUGUUGUUAGGGAAGAACAAGUACCGUUCGAAUAGGGCGGCACCUUGACGGUACCUAACCAGAAAGCCACGGCUAACUACGUGCCAGCAGCCGCGGUAAUACGUAAGUGGCAAGCGUUGUCCGGAAUUAUUGGGCGUAAAGCGCGCGCAGGCGGUUUCUUAAGUCUGAUGUGAAAGCCCCCGGCUCAACCGGGGAGGGUCAUUGGAAACUGGGGAACUUGAGUGCAGAAGAGGAGAGUGGAAUUCCACGUGUAGCGGUGAAAUGCGUAGAGAUGUGGAGGAACACCAGUGGCGAAGGCGACUCUCUGGUCUGUAACUGACGCUGAGGCGCGAAAGCGUGGGGAGCGAACAGGAUUAGAUACCCUGGUAGUCCACGCCGUAAACGAUGAGUGCUAAGUGUUAGAGGGUUUCCGCCCUUUAGUGCUGCAGCAAACGCAUUAAGCACUCCGCCUGGGGAGUACGGUCGCAAGACUGAAACUCAAAGGAAUUGACGGGGGCCCGCACAAGCGGUGGAGCAUGUGGUUUAAUUCGAAGCAACGCGAAGAACCUUACCAGGUCUUGACAUCCUCUGACAACCCUAGAGAUAGGGCUUCCCCUUCGGGGGCAGAGUGACAGGUGGUGCAUGGUUGUCGUCAGCUCGUGUCGUGAGAUGUUGGGUUAAGUCCCGCAACGAGCGCAACCCUUGAUCUUAGUUGCCAGCAUUCAGUUGGGCACUCUAAGGUGACUGCCGGUGACAAACCGGAGGAAGGUGGGGAUGACGUCAAAUCAUCAUGCCCCUUAUGACCUGGGCUACACACGUGCUACAAUGGGCAGAACAAAGGGCAGCGAAGCCGCGAGGCUAAGCCAAUCCCACAAAUCUGUUCUCAGUUCGGAUCGCAGUCUGCAACUCGACUGCGUGAAGCUGGAAUCGNUAGUAAUCCGAUCAAGCAGCCGCGUAAGUGCGCCUUUUGGGGUG
rnacentral:rRNA from 1 species